AAAUACGUGCCAGCAGCCGCGGUAAUACGUAGGUGGCAAGCGUUAUCCGGAUUUAUUGGGCGUAAAGAGAGUGCAGGCGGUUUUCUAAGUCUGAUGUGAAAGCCUUCGGCUUAACCGGAGAAGUGCAUCGGAAACUGGAUAACUUGAGUGCAGAAGAGGGUAGUGGAACUCCAUGUGUAGCGGUGGAAUGCGUAGAUAUAUGGAAGAACACCAGUGGCGAAGGCGGCUACCUGGUCUGCAACUGACGCUGAGACUCGAAAGCAUGGGUAGCGAACAGGAUUAGAUACCCUGGUAGUCCAUGCCGUAAACGAUGAGUGCUAGGUGUUGGAGGGUUUCCGCCCUUCAGUGCCGGAGCUAACGCAUUAAGCACUCCGCCUGGGGAGUACGACCGCAAGGUUGAAACUCAAAGGAAUUGACGGGGGCCCGCACAAGCGGUGGAGCAUGUGGUUUAAUUCGAAGCUACGCGAAGAACCUUACCAGGUCUUGACAUCUUGCGCCAACCCUAGAGAUAGGGCGUUUCCUUCGGGAACGCAAUGACAGGUGGUGCAUGGUCGUCGUCAGCUCGUGUCGUGAGAUGUUGGGUUAAGUCCCGCAACGAGCGCAACCCUUGUUACUAGUUGCCAGCAUUAAGUUGGGCACUCUAGUGAGACUGCCGGUGACAAACCGGAGGAAGGUGGGGACGACGUCAGAUCAUCAUGCCCCUUAUGACCUGGGCUACACACGUGCUACAAUGGACGGUACAACGAGUCGCGAACUCGCGAGGGCAAGCAAAUCUCUUAAAACCGUUCUCAGUUCGGACUGCAGGCUGCAACUCGCCUGCACGAAGUCGGAAUCGCUAGUAAUCGCGGAUCAGCAUGCCGCGGUGAAUACGUUCCCGGGCCUUGUACACACCGCCCGUCACACCAUGAGAGUUUGUAACACCCCAAAGUCCGGUGGGGUAACCUUU
rnacentral:rRNA from 1 species